UUCGCCUCGCCCUGCCAGGGGCCCCGCGGGGCCGCUGCACCGAGCUGCUCACGCCGAAUGCUGCAUUCCCUCCUCUCUCGCUCCUGUUGUGGGAAAGCGAGGCCUUUCUUUUCCAGCCUCAUUUCAUUUUGUUGUUAAAUUGCGUUGGCCACCCCAGCUGAUUGAAGAGCAGCACAGUUGUUGGGAUUUCUUCAAAUGAUUCUGACAGGCAAGCUAGCGCUAAAGCAAAUAACAGUGGAUAAUAUUACAAGAGUAGAAGGCAAACAAGUAAGCUUGAAAAUGGUAUUUCUACAAGUGAAGUUCUCCCUGAUGUCUAGAGAAGACAGUAUCUUGGUUCAAGAGGAUCGUGCUCCAAGUUUGAAUAGAAAAAGGCUGCAGUCAGGCAGCCAAGGGACAAGAACACUUCAAAGCAGAACAAAUGAAACUGGACCAUGUCAUUUUGCAAUAAAAUGUGAAGUCAUGUAAUAGUGCCCUUUUAAGCCACUUGUGACUUUUAAGACUUCAAAUGAAAUGCUAUUAGCACAGACAGAUAAACAUGCUAAGCUGUUAUUUGCCUGGGGCGAUACCCUUGUGAUUUGUAACAGGCAAUGAAAAUAUAGUAGCCUAGGUGUUCAGGAAGAACGACAUGAACACCAGUAAUCUCUUCAGACUGAUGCCAAGACCUCUGAUAACAAGUCCCCCAGAAAACCUUGUGUUAAUCAAAAUGACUGGGUAUUUUUUUACCUUAUUAUAAAAGUUUUCAUAAAUAGAAAAGACUUUUAGAAGAUGAAGAGGAAAGAUGAAAUUUGUAGAAAAAGAAAAAAAGUAUUUAUAUCAACCUCACAUUUGUUUUUGAGUUACAAAUGAAAAAUAAAAUCACUAUGGCUAUUUAUCAAAGAGUUACAAAUAUCUGCCUUGAUUAUACAUUCUGGCACGUCAAUCUCUUUGCCCAAGCAAACCCAGUGAAAAUGUUGGCAAUAUAACCUCUCUGGAAUUUGCAACACAAUUUGCAGAACUGGGAGCUUGAAGAGAAAUCACACCAUAUCUGGUUAAAAAAAAUUGCAAAUAAAGUGACAGGUUCACAUUGCAUCUGAUGUGAAAAUUUA